CGACUGGCGACACGCAGAGCGUCAUCACCUCCUUUUUUCUAUCCUCUUCUAUUUCUCCAUCAUAAAAAAAUCCUAAAUAUAGCAUGAUAGGACUGCAAUCUCACUUUGUCUCGUGGAUAGCUGCAAGGACAUAUGGACACAUGAGAGAGGACACUGG